GCAGUAGCCGCGGGAAUACGAAGGGGGCUAGCGUUGUUCGGAAUUACUGGGCGUAAAGCGCACGUAGGCGGAUAUUUAAGUCAGGGGUGAAAUCCCAGAGCUCAACUCUGGAACUGCCUUUGAUACUGGGUAUCUUGAGUAUGGAAGAGGUGAGUGGAAUUCCGAGUGUAGAGGUGAAAUUCGUAGAUAUUCGGAGGAACACCAGUGGCGAAGGCGGCUCACUGGUCCAUUACUGACGCUGAGGUGCGAAAGCGUGGGGAGCAAACAGGAUUAGAUACCCCCGUAGUCCCUGUCUCUUAUAC
rnacentral:rRNA from 1 species